CGCAUCUGUGCAUGCAGCAUAUCAAUAAGCGGAGGAAAAGAAACUAACAAGGAUUCCCUCAGUAACGGCGAGUGAAGCGGGAAGAGCUCAAAUUUGAAAUCUUGAAAGGUCACCUUUCACGAAUUGUAGUUUAAAGAAGUGUUUUCUGUUACGAUCGUAAUAUAAGUUCUUUGGAAUAGGACAUCACAGAGGGUGAGAAUCCCGUCUAUGAUUGCGAUUUGUAGCUUUGUGAUACACUUUCAAAGAGUCGGGUUGUUUGGGAAUGCAGCCCAAAACGGGAGGUAAAUUUCUUCUAAGGCUAAAUAUUGGCGAGAGACCGAUAGCGAACAAGUACCGUGAGGGAAAGAUGAAAAGAACUUUGAAAAGAGAGUUAAAUAGUACGUGAAAUUGUCAAAAGGGAAGCGUUUAACACCAGUGUUGUUUUCUGAAAAUCAACCUCUGUUAGCUUUAUGCAUGUUUGUUUAGACCUAAUCAGCUAUCUUGCAUGUUCUAUUGUUUGCAGUGGUGCACUUUUCAGUUUACAGGUCAACAUCAGUUUUUUUACCGUAAAAAAGUUAAAGAAAGGUAGCUCAUGGCUCCGGUCGUGAGUGUUAUAGUCUUUUUCCUAUGCGGUAGGAGAGACUGAGGUCUGCAGUGUAGGCUAUUUGGCUAGAUACUCAGGUGCUAUGUGAUACCAUUUCAUAAACAACUUGUUGAUUAUGUUUUGUCUAUUGCAUACUCGCUUGUACUAUCAUACCUACGCUUAGGAUGUUGAAGUCAUCGUAUCGCGC
rnacentral:rRNA from 1 species